rnacentral:rRNA from 1 species
UGGGAACAUACCCUUCGGUUCGGAAUAACUCAGGGAAACUUGGGUUAAUACCGGAUACGUCCGUGAGGAGAAAGAUUCAUCGCCGGAGGAUUGGCCCGCGUAAGAUUAGCUAGUUGGUGAGGUAACGGCUCACCAAGGCUAUGAUCUUUAGCUGGUCUGAGAGGACGAUCAGCCACACUGGGACUGAGACACGGCCCAGACUCCUACGAGAGGCAG